rnacentral:rRNA from 1 species
AUUGAACGCUGGCGGAAUGCUUUACACAUGCAAGUCGAACGGUAGAGGGGGCAACCCCUCGAGAGUGGCGAACGGGUGAGUAAUAUAUCGGAACGUGCCCAGUCGUGGGGAUAACGUAGCGAAAGUUACGCUAAUACCGCAUACGAUCUAAGGAUGAAAGCGGGGGAUCGCAAGACCUCGCGCGAUUGGAACGGCCGAUAUCAGAUUAGGUAGUUGGGGGGGUAAAGGCGCACCAAGCCAACGAUCUGUAGCUGGUCUGAGAGGACGACCAGCCACACUGGAACUGAGCAACGGUCCAGACUCCUACGGGAGGCAGCAGUGGGGAAUUUUGGACAAUGGACGCAAGUCUGAUCCAGCCAUUCCGCGUGCAGGAUGAAGGCCCUCGGGUUGUAAACUGCUUUUGUACGGAACGAAAAGGUCUCUCUUAAUACGGGGGGCUCAUGACGGUACCGUAAGAAUAAGCACCGGCUAACUACGUGCCAGCAGCCGCCGUAA